rnacentral:rRNA from 1 species
UGGCCGUAAACGAUGUGGACUUGGUGUUGGAAUGGCUCCGAGCUGCUCCAGUGCCGAAGGGAAGCUGUUAAGUCCACCGCCUGGGAAGUACGGUCGCAAGACUGAAACUUAAGGAAUUGGCGGGGGAGCACCACAACGCGUGGAGUCUGCGGUUUAAUUGGAUUCAACGCCGGACAUCUCACCAGGGGGCGACAGCAGAAUGAUGGCCAGGUUGAUGACCUUGCUUGACAAGCUGAGAGGAGGUGCAUGGCGUGUGACUGU